rnacentral:ncRNA from 1 species
UUUCGCUCAGGGCAAAGUCGGAGAGAUCCGGCCACGCAAAGCCACGGGUCCAGCGCAUGGAUAGCCGGGUUGCCGAA